GAGGACCGGAGUGGACGAACCUCUGGUGUUCGGGUUGUGUCGCCAGACGCAUUGCCCGGUAGCUAAGUUCGGAAUCGAUAAGCGCUGAAAGCAUCUAAGCGCGAAGCGAGCCCUGAGAUGAGUCAUCCCUGAUACUUUAAGUAUCCUGAAGGGUUGUUGGAGACUACGACGUAGAUAGGCAGGGUGUGUAAGCGCUGUGAGGCGUUGAGCUAACCUGUACUAAUUGCCCGUGAGGCUUAACCAU
rnacentral:ncRNA from 1 species